CCCGUGACUCCUGCAACUCCGCCACCGCGCCGCCGCGACCCCUCCGUCACCUGUGCCCCAGUCGGCCCGGGGCUGGAGGACGCCAGACCAAGCACCGCACCCAACCCGCGGCCCGGUCUCUCGGUCGACGCGGACGGUAGAAAGCCAGCAGCUACCAAGUGUGACAGGAGAAACAGCAGAGUGGAUGCAAUGGGAGUGUAGGAGGGGACGACAGUGAUUCGGAGUACGUGGCCCGGCUCAUGUCAGAAGCCCAGAGCUCACACUGGCCCAAGGCACCUACCUCUAUUUGACUAAGAGGCCAAUGGAAACCCCAGAAACAACGCUGGAAUCAGGGAAACUCAGCCCAACUCAGUGCACUCCAGGUGUGGCUGCACACAGGCAGAACCCCAUCUCCAGGACCCCUCACACCCUGCAGGACACUAUCAGCCUCAGCUGCUCCCAGGUUCUGAAGUUGUAACUGCAGAAUGAGCCAUUUGGGAAGAAACCUGUAUUUGAACAAAAGAAUUUGUGGACCAGAACUGUGAACCAUGAAAGUAUAUUAGAUGUUACCACCCUCCUUACAGAUGAUGGAAAAGAAACCUGGAGAGAUUAACCGACUUCACUGAAAUUAAAUGACCAUUAAAUGGCAGACCUACAAGGUUCAUUUAAAGAAACA